UACGAACCGAGCGAACGUUGUUCGGAAUCACUGGGCUUAAAGGGCGCGUAGGCGGGCUGUCAAGUCUGGGGUGAAAUCCCACGGCUUUAACCGUGGAACUGCUUGGCAUACUGGCGAUCUUGAGCCAUCUAGGGGCCUGCGGAACAAACGGUGGAGCGGUGAAAUGCGUAGAUAUCGUUUGGAACGCCAAUGGUGAAAACAGGCAAGGC
rnacentral:rRNA from 1 species